rnacentral:misc_RNA from 1 species
GAUGAAGAACGUAGUGAAAUGCGAUAAGUAAUGUGAAUUGCAGAAUCUCGUGAAUCAUCGAAUCUUUGAACACACAUUGCGCCCCUCGGUAUUCCGAGGGGCAUGCCUGUUCGAGCGUCAUUAUAACCCUUCAAGCUCAGCUUGGUGUUGGGGCCUGCUGUAACUGGUAGCCCUUAAAAUCAGUGGCAGUGCUAUUAGGCUCUAAGCGUAGUAAUUCUUCUCGCUAUAGUGUGUAGUGAGCGCUUGCCAGAACCCCAAACUUUUAUAUGAUUGACCUCGGAUCAGGUAGGGAUACCCGCUGAACUUAAGCAUAUCAAUAAGCGGAGGA